rnacentral:rRNA from 1 species
CCCUGGAACGGGACGCCAUAGAGGGUGAGAGCCCCGUCUGGUCGGACGCCUAGCCUGUGUAAAGCUCCUUCGACGAGUCGAGUAGUUUGGGAAUGCUGCUCUAAAUGGGAGGUAUAUGUCUUCUAAAGCUAAAUACCGGCCAGAGACCGAUAGCGCACAAGUAGAGUGAUCGAAAGAUGAAAAGCACUUUGAAAAGAGGGUUAAAUAGUACGUGAAAUUGUUGAAAGGGAAGCGCUUGUGACCAGACUUGGGCCCGGUGGAUCAUCCAGCGUUCUCGCUGGUGCACUCCGCCGGGUUCAGGCCAGCAUCAGUUCGCCGCGGGGGAAAAAGGCUUCGGGAACGUGGCUCCUACGGGAGUGUUAUAGCCCGUUGCAUAAUACCCUGGGGCGGACUGAGGUUCGCGCUCCGCAAGGAUGCUGGCGUAAUGGUCAUCAGCGACCCGU